AGUGGCGGACGGGUGAGUAACGCGUGAGAAUCUGCCUUCAGGUCUGGGACAACAGAAGGAAACUUCUGCUAAUCCCGGAUGAGCCUUAGGGUAAAAGAUAAAUUGCCUGGAGAUGAGCUCGCGUCUGAUUAGCUAGUUGGUGUGGUAAAAGCAUACCAAGGCAACGAUCAGUAGCUGGUCUGAGAGGAUGAGCAGCCACACUGGGACUGAGACACGGCCCAGACUCCUACGGGAGGCAGCAGUGGGGAAUAUUGCACAAUGGGGGAAACCCUGAUGCAGCCAUGCCGCGUGUGUGAAGAAGGCCUUCGGGUUGUAAAGCACUUUCAGUUGUGAGGAAAAGUUAGUAGUUAAUACCUGCUAGCCGUGACGUUAACAACAGAAGAAGCACCGGCUAACUCCGUGCCAGCAGCCGCGGUAAUACGGAGGGUGCGAGCGUUAAUCGGAAUUACUGGGCGUAAAGCGCACGCAGGCGGUUUGUUAAGCUAGAUGUGAAAGCCCCGGGCUCAACCUGGGAUGGUCAUUUAGAACUGGCAGACUAGAGUCUUGGAGAGGGGAGUGGAAUUCCAGGUGUAGCGGUGAAAUGCGUAGAUAUCUGGAGGAACAUCAGUGGCGAAGGCGACUCCCUGGCCAAAGACUGACGCUCAUGUGCGAAAGUGUGGGUAGCGAACAGGAUUAGAUACCCUGGUAGUCCACACC
rnacentral:rRNA from 1 species